UACGUAGGUGGCGAGCGUUGUCCGGAUUUACUGGGUGUAAAGGGAGCGUAGACGGCCAGACAAGUCUGAAGUGAAAAUCCAGCGCUUAACGUUGGAAGUGCUUUGGAAACUGCCGGGCUAGAGUGCAGGAGGGGCAGGCGGAAUUCCUAGUGUAGCGGUGAAAUGCGUAGAUAUUAGGAGGAACACCAGUGGCGAAGGCGGCCUGCUGGACUGCAACUGACGUUGAGGCUCGAAGGCGUGGGGAGCAAACAGG
rnacentral:rRNA from 1 species